rnacentral:rRNA from 1 species
AGUGAACGCUGGCGAUAGGCCCAACACAUGCAAGUCGAACGGCAGCACAGUAAGAGCUUGCUCUUACGGGUGGCGAGUGGCGGACGGGUGAGGAAUACAUCGGAAUCUACUUUUUCGUGGGAGAUAACGUAGGGAAACUUACGCUAAUACCGCAUACGACCUACGGGUGAAAGCAGGGGAUCUUCGGACCUUGCGCGAUUGAAUGAGCCGAUGUCGGAUUAGCUAGUUGGCGGGGUAAAGGCCCACCAAGGCGACGAUCCGUAGCUGGUCUGAGAGGAUGAUCAGCCACACUGGAACUGAGACACGGUCCAGACUCCUACGGGAGGCAGCAGUGGGGAAUAUUGGACAAUGGGCGCAAGCCUGAUCCAGCCAUACCGCGUGGGUGAAGAAGGCCUUCGGGUUGUAAAGCCCUUUUGUUGGGAAAGAAAAGCAGCAGGUUAAUACCCCGCUGUUCUGACGGUACCCAAAGAAUAAGCACCGGCUAACUUCGUG